UUGACAGAACGUUUUCCCUCUUACAGUAUAUGUUUGUGUUCUUCAGGGUAGCUGUGUUUGUUACUAAUAAGAGAAUAGUCAUCCCACUGAGAAACACAGGAAAACAGCCAUCACACCAAGUCCAGCGGCUUUUUGUAAUAGUGCAAUCCACUGCAUGCGCUGUGUACAGCACUUAGUGAAAGGAAUGUUGGGCUGGAUGCUCCGAUCAGUAGUGCUGAGACAAGAGCCUGCGCAGCCAAUACAGGAUAGUUUACACAGCUGUCAGGUUAGGACUUCAGCUGAUGGAGAGGAAGUGUUUUUCCUCCUGCUUAGGUCAAGAGAGCUUAUACACAACAUAACACUCCUACAGCUCUCUUAUUCUCUUAAAUUCCUUCUUUUAUCAGAGGAGGACAGAGUAAAUAUACUGCAAAAUUACUGCUUGUAAUUUAUAUAUGAUAUAAAUAUAAAGAAAAAUUCUAUGAGAUGUGACUGCAGAUGAAGGAAAAAAAAUAAUUUCUUUUAUGUUUUCACUCUUCUGAAGAAACGGUGAAGAGGUCUGGAAGAAAUAUGGUCUGUGCUGCUCUUGUCCAAUAAGAAAGGGUAGUUUUUACUGAAACUGUAAAGUUACAGUGAGAAGGUGUGUGCUUUUUUUAAUAAAGAAAACUAUUGAUUCUUAACAAAUGCGUGAUUUUUGGAAUAUCUGGUUACUUUUUGAACUCCAAUUGCAUUUAGUAAAGCCUAGUAAAGUACACAAGGUAGGACUUUAUCCAAAUGUUGUGGUCUUGUGUUUGACCUAGACCGGAGGCUCAUGGCUGCAACCCAAGCAAGAGUGUUUGGGAGUAACGCUGCAGGGAGAAGUUGGUGUGGCCUGUGAUCCGGCAACAGGGAAGGGCGUUUCGGUUUUAUCUCCACCAGCAUCAGAAUGGAGAAGCCCAUGUGUAUCAGUGGAGUUGAGAGAGGAAGCGUGAAAGAAAUGCUGCAACCUAAGCAAGCAGAGCAAAUGAAUGUUGCAAUGGUAUGGAGGUGUUUGAGAACCAUUAAUUGCAAAAUUCAAGAAUCACAACUGAAUAGCAGAAUUCAGGACUCCGCAUCCUUGGAAGGCUGUAACUAGCUGAUACCCACAGAAGAGUAACUUGCAUAUUUGUGAACAAACCCUACUGUUGUCAUUCUAUUGAUUUAUUUUUAAUCUUUUUUUCUGAAACGUGCUGCAAGAAAUUGUAGAGAGUGUCUCACGUGGAAUUUUGUGGUUUCACAAUGAAAAAAGGGAAAGCAGUAACAUAGGGGAAAACAUUGUCAAUUAAAAGAAAAUGGAAGAUUCGAAACUUCUACGUAAUUCAUCUGCAUUGUCAUUAAACUCCUCCACAAAAGAAAAAAGUGGGCAGCUUAUGGAAAAGUAAUUUUUACUCAGAAACUUCUAAGCAUGAUGCAAUAUUGUCUUGGUCAAAGAUUGAACUAACUGAUUGAACUGCAAAAAUUUCUGGGGGAUAAAAAUCAGUCAAUGCUGAGACAUAAACUCCUACUACAAAGAUCCUGCUCAUAUGAAAUGUUUAAUGUGUCAUCCUCAUUCCUUGAGCAUAAACCUGCUCGAAUAUGAUGAAUAGCUGCAGCUUCUCAACCACCUGUAUAGACUGGAUAAAACUUUGUUUCAAGUAUUUAUAAGCUGCAGCCUUCCAGGUUAGUACUUAGUUCCUUUAGUUCUGAAGUUGUUUGGUAGAGGAAUAAAUGCUUUUCCUUCCAAUCCAUUAAGGAGAUUAUUUUUCAUUAGUCUGAAAUUGCUUCACUCCUUUAAUCAUUGGAAGCUUUAUUGCUAAGCCCUUGCACGAAAGAAAUACUAAGUCUGAAAAGUUUCUUUCAACAUUACUGCCUGCAAAUGAAUAGUAACUUUAUUUAAAUGAGAAGCAGCACUUUUCUCUUUAUAUUAUGAAGUGCAGUAU